rnacentral:lncRNA from 1 species
GAAACUCAUAGAAAAAGGCUGCUAGCAAGCCUGUUUCUGUCAUAGCUCCAUGCUAUGUCAUCGUUUCCCCCGUCCACCCCGGAAUAGCUGGAUCCUGGCACCAAGCAGCUAGGCCACGUUGGUGGAGGGGGAGGCAGAAGUGGAGCAGCUGCUGCAGUAGUGCCAGAUCCUGUAGCUGGGAGAGUUCCCACCGCUGCAAUGCCGGAUCUCGCGACACUUGGCUCAUCAUGAGACUUUUCCCAAUCCAACGCAAUGCGCCAAUCCCAAAGUUGCAUCCACCUCCCACUGCCUCACACCCUUUCCCUAGGAGAGAGAAAGGGAGCCAUGCACUGCAGCUGCCAGGAGUGGAUUGUGUGCGCACCGUAAUGGAGAUGAGUCAGCGGAUCUCCUUGAAAUAGGCUCUCCGGACCUCCACAAAUGAUCGCCGCUGCUUGACUUUCAACCGCCGUUGCUCGAUCUCGCUUUGUGGGGCAUAGCUGCAGGGAGGGGUUGGAGGAGCGGACAGGAUCUUGAGGGGACCGCUAUGGGAAUGGUUGUCGGAUGCUCUGGAAAGAGAGAGAAUGGUGACUGCCUUCGAAGAUCGCUCAGACGGAGGUGACUAGAGGGUGCAUCAGAGGGUGGGAGUUGAGAUAGGAAUCUCUCAUUGUUUUAUAUAUAUACUAUGAGUUUGUAGUGGACAUAGAUGUUGGUCAGUGGCGCUAGCGAUAACGGGCUAUGCUCAAAUAAUAGAGAUGGGCC